rnacentral:rRNA from 1 species
AGUGAACGCUGGCGGUAGGCCUAACACAUGCAAGUCGAACGGCAGCACAGUAAGAGCUUGCUCUUACGGGUGGCGAGUGGCGGACGGGUGAGGAAUACAUCGGAAUCUACUUUUUCGUGGGGGAUAACGUAGGGAAACUUACGCUAAUACCGCAUACGACCUACGGGUAAAAGCAGGGGAUCUUCGGACCUUGCGCGAUUGAAUGAGCCGAUGUCGGAUUAGCUAGUUGGCGGGGUAAAGGCCACCAAGGCGACGAUCCGUAGCUGGUCUGAGAGGAUGAUCAGCCACACUGGAACUGAGACACGGUCCAGACUCCUACGGGAGGCAGCAGUGGGGAAUAUUGGACAAUGGGCGCAAGCCUGAUCCAGCCAUACCGCGUGGGUGAAGAAGGCCUUCGGGUUGUAAAGCCCUUUUGUUGGGAAAGAAAAGCAGCAGGUUAAUACCCCGCUGUUCUGACGGUACCCAAAGAAUAAGCACCGGCUAACUUCGUG